rnacentral:lncRNA from 1 species
GGCCGGUCUCCGGGGACACCCCCCACCCGGGUCUGCGCCGUCCUCCCGCCAGGCCUGCGAAAUGCGCGCCUCGCCGUCAGAUGCAGCCCUGGGGUCAGGUAGCCCUGGCGGAGCUCUGUGCGCGCGUCCCUUCCUGUUCCAGCAGGCGCCACCCCUCACCCAGCCUCCUCUCGCGGGCUCCCAGCCUCAGUUUCCUCAUCUGUUAAGCAGCGAUUACUCCUAUCUACAUUACAGGGUUGUUACGAUUAAAAUAGAAUAAUCAUGUAAUGUGCCCUUGCUCUAUAAAUGGGGUCCUCUGUCCUCCCCGCCCCCUGCCUCCUCAGUCAGGCCUGGGAUCAGCGAGGCCUUCCCGUGUCCCUGUCCUGUCCCCCUCGGCCUGGAACUGGAGCUGCGGGUGCAUCAGCACCCUUGCCAGGGCCCUUUCCUCUCCUCCCUCCCCCUCAGGGUUACCUUGGAACGUGCCUCCUCCAAGAGGAUGGUCCAACUUGUUGUCCGAACCUGCGGGAAUCCCAGGCUGAGGUCCAACAGUAUUCACGGAGGGCGCAGCCUGGCUGGAGUUCUAGAAGUCAGCCCUGGGUACUCCAGAGAGCCUGGCAGAGCCAGAGGUCGGCCCGGAGUCCUUAGCUGCGGGUGCAGGGCGCGUGGGCAGAGAGAACAGGCUUCGGGCCCUGGUGGAGGAGGGCUUCGCGGGACCUGAGGACCUGGCCUUCAACUCUCAGGGAGCACCUGGAGGCUUCCCCCGUCCCGCCUCCUCUCUGACGGUGGCAAAAAUGCAGAGGAAAGCCCAUGUCCCGUCCCCAGCUGCCCCAGCCUGGUGGUUGGGAUUCAACGUAGACAUCCGAGGGACGGAGGCUGCUGUGUGCCCGUGUCCCCCUCGCUGUCAGGAACCCCGGGCUUUGCAAAGAGCUGGCUGCCGGGCAUCCCCUGACUUUUCCCUGGGUAACAUUGCCAAGGAACUGUGGUGCUGGCCAGACUUCCCACGCCCGGCCCUGUGGCUCUACCCCCCUCCGUCUCUUGCCCAUGGAGGCUCGGAAUAAGCUUUCUAGAGGAUGCUCUUUCUUGUGUGAGGGGUCAUCUGAGGUCGCCGAGACGGAGCUCUUCACCAGAGAAAUGCAGGAACAUCUCUGCAGCUAAAUGAGGCAAUGUCUGUGGGGGACUCGGCCUUGCCAGGCAGGCUCCAGACGCAUGCUCCCUCCCUGAGAGACGUCGCCCUUGGCCCUGCAGCCCUUGGCCAGGCCAACCACUGGGCUCUAUCCCUGGGUGCCUUUCCAGGCUGUCCUUUGCUCAAGGUGUCCUUAACAGAGCCUAAAGGGACAUUCAGCUUCUCCCUAUGCCCAAGAGCAGAGAAGGACACAUUUCUCAGGCUCUUCCUGAAAGAUUCAAGGAAAGAAAAAAACGUUCUUGAUCUGAGAUCCUGCAGAACCAACCCCCCAGAACUGGCUUGAGUGGCGUCUCCAAAAUUCAUGUCCACGUGGACCUUGUGCAUGUGACCUAAUUCGGAAAUCGGGUCUUUGCAGAUGUAAUUAGUUAUGAUGAGGUCAUACUGGAUGAGUUUGGGCCCCAAUCCAAUGGCUGGUGUCCUUAUAAGAAGAGAGUUGGACACAGACACACAGAGAAGAAGGCC